rnacentral:rRNA from 1 species
GAUGGGAUUAGCUAGUAGGUGGGGUAAAGGCUCACCUAGGCGACGAUCCCUAGCUGGUCUGAGAGGAUGACCAGCCACACUGGAACUGAGACACGGUCCAGACUCCUACGGGAGGCAGCAGUGGGGAAUAUUGCACAAUGGGCGCAAGCCUGAUGCAGCCAUGCCGCGUGUAUGAAGAAGGCCUUCGGGUUGUAAAGUACUUUCAGCGGGGAGGAAGGGAGUAAAGUUAAUACCUUUGCUCAUUGACGUUACCCGCAGAAGAAGCACCGGCUAACUCCGUGCCAGCAGCCGCGGUAAUACGGAGGGUGCAAGCGUUAAUCGGAAUUACUGGGCGUAAAGCGCACGCAGGCGGUUUGUUAAGUCAGAUGUGAAAUCCCCGGGCUCAACCUGGGAACUGCAUCUGAUACUGGCAAGCUUGAGUCUCGUAGAGGGGGGUAGAAUUCCAGGUGUAGCGGUGAAAUGCGUAGAGAUCUGGAGGAAUACCGG